UAACAAGGAUUCCCCUAGUAACUGCGAGUGAAGCGGGAAAAGCUCAAAUUUAAAAUCUGGCAGUCUUUUUUUGACUGUCCGAAUUGUAGUCUGGAGAAGUGCUUUCCGCGCUGGACCGUGUACAAGUCUCUUGGAACAGAGCGUCAUAGAGGGUGAGAAUCCCGUCUUUGACACGGACAAUCAGUGCUUUGUGAUGUGCUCUCAAAGAGUCGAGUUGUUUGGGAAUGCAGCUCAAAAUGGGUGGUAAAUUCCAUCUAAAGCUAAAUAUUGGCGAGAGACCGAUAGCGAACAAGUACCGUGAGGGAAAGAUGAAAAGCACUUUGGAAAGAGAGUUAAACAGUACGUGAAAUUGCUGAAAGGGAAACGCUUGAAGUCAGUCGCGUUGGCCAGAACUCAGCCUUGCUUUUUUGCUUGGUGCACUUUCUGGUUGACGGGCCAGCAUCAAUUUUGACUGCUGGAUAAAGGUUGGGGGAAUGUGGCACCUUAGGGUGUGUUAUAGCCCUCAGUCCGCAUACAGUGGUUGGGAUUGAGGAUCUCAGUACGCCUUUAAGGCAAGGGGCUUUAACUUCCCUAUGCUCGUGCUUAGGAUGCUGGCAUAA
rnacentral:rRNA from 1 species